GACGUAGGGGGCCAGCGUUGUUCGGAAUUACUGGGUGUAAAGGGUUCGUAGGCGGUGUGGCAAGUCGGGAGUGAAAUCUCUGGGCUCAACUCAGAGACUGCUUCCGAAACUGCUGUGCUGGAGUGUGGGAGAGGCGCGUGGAAUUGCAGGUGUAGCGGUGAAAUGCGUAGAUAUCUGCAGGAACACCCGUGGCGAAAGCGGUGCGCUGGACCACUACUGACGCUGAGGAACGAAAGCUAGGGGAGCAAACAGG
rnacentral:rRNA from 1 species